CACGUAGGGCGCAAGCGUUGUCCGGAAUUAUUGGGCGUAAAGAGCUCGUAGGCGGUCUGUUACGUCUGCUGUGAAAACCCGGGGCUUAACCCUGGGCUUGCAGUGGAUACGGGCAGACUAGAGGCAGGUAGGGGAGAAUGGAAUUCCCGGUGUAGCGGUGAAAUGCGCAGAUAUCAGGAGGAACACCGGUGGCGAAGGCGGUUCUCUGGGCCUGUACUGACGCUGAGGAACGAAAGCGUGGGGAGCGAACAGG
rnacentral:rRNA from 1 species